AAAAGGAGAAAAAAAUACCAAAUUAUCAGUUGGUCUCCUCCUGAAAACUGUUAACAGGAAUUCAAGAAAAAUUUUGAUUUAUUUUUGAAGGAAGCUUUGCUGGGGAGAAACUCAUUUACAAACCAUUUGAAGAUAAUGGAGCUAUAUGCAACUCAUUGUAGUCAUUUGUUAAGAAGUACAGCUAUCAUGGGCCUCUUAAAGAAGGAGAGUUUCGACCUAGUGAAGAUUGACGGCAUAGAUCGCUGUCCUUUCCUGAUAGCUGAGACACUUGGAAGGCCGUUUGUGACCAUCCGUCCCAUCCCAUUUGGAGUUAUGAAUUUUGGGCUGCCUGAGGCUGUGUCUUAUGUUCCAGCAUUCUACUCCUCCCUCACAGAUACAUGGAUCUUUGGAACCGAGUGAAGGCCAGUGUUAGCUCAUCUUCAAUUGAAAGCAGAGCUGUGGAUUAUUAAUUCUGACUUUGCCCUUGAUUUUGCCCGUCCCCUGCUUCCUAACACAGUUUAUAUUGGAGGUUUAAUUAAUACCUCAAAUAAAACUUUAGCGCUCCAUUUGGACGUGAGGAAA